AGAGUUUGAUCAUGGCUCAGAUUGAACGCUGGCGGCAUGCCUAACACAUGCAAGUCGAACGGAAACGAUGGGAGCUUGCUCCCAGGCGUCGAGUGGCGGACGGGUGAGUAAUACUUAGGAAUCUGCCCAUUAGUGGGGGACAACUCGGGGAAACUCGAGCUAAUACCGCAUACGCCCUACGGGGGAAAGCGGGGGAUCUUCGGACCUCGCGCUAAUGGAUGAGCCUAAGUCGGAUUAGCUUGUUGGUGAGGUAAAGGCUCACCAAGGCGACGAUCCGUAGCUGGUCUGAGAGGACGAUCAGCCACACUGGGACUGAGACACGGCCCAGACUCCUACGGGAGGCAGCAGUGGGGAAUAUUGGACAAUGGGGGCAACCCUGAUCCAGCAAUGCCGCGUGUGUGAAGAAGGCCUGCGGGUUGUAAAGCACUUUCAGUAGAGAAGAAAAGCUUAUGGUUAAUAACCGUGAGUCUUGACGUAACCUACAGAAGAAGCUCCGGCUAACUCCGUGCCAGCAGCCGCGGUAAUACGGAGGGAGCGAGCGUUAAUCGGAAUUACUGGGCGUAAAGCGCGCGUAGGCGGCUUUGUAAGUCGGAUGUGAAAGCCCCGGGCUCAACCCGGGAAUUGCACUCGAUACUGCAGAGCUAGAGUAUGGUAGAGGGAAGUGGAAUUUCCGGUGUAGCGGU
rnacentral:rRNA from 1 species